GUACGGUGAAACCGCGAAUGGCUCAUUAAAUCAGUCGAGGUUCCUUAGAUGAUCCAUUUCUACUUGGAUAACUGUGGUAAUUCUAGAGCUAAUACAUGCCCACCAGCUCCGACCCCGGGCUUCGCGGUUCGGGGAAAGAGCGCUUUUAUUAGUUCAAAACCAGUCGGGGGUUUCGGCCCUCGUGCUUUGGUGACUCUGGAUAACUUUGAGCCGAUCGCAUGGCCUCGAGCCGGCGACGCAUCUUUCAAAUGUCUGCCCUAUCAAAUGACGACGGUACGUGAUCUGCCUACCGUGUUGACUACGGGUAGCGGGGAAUCAGGGUUCGAUUCCGGA
rnacentral:rRNA from 3 species